rnacentral:rRNA from 1 species
CACAACUCUAAACGCUGGAUCACUCGCCGAGUGUGUCGAUGAAGAGCGCACCCAGCUGCGUGAAAUAAUGUGRRUWGCMRGACACAYWGAACAUCGAUAUMUUGAACGCAUAUUGCGGCCUCGGGUAAUCCCGAGGCCACGCCUGUCUCAGGGUCGGUUACAAGUCGAUCGCCGUGCCGCUCUCUCUCUGGCCCGGCGCGUUGGGCGUCGCAG